UCAAAACAGGUGACUUGAGUGUGG
rnacentral:piRNA from 2 species